UAAAAGGUCGGGAUAGCUCAGUUGGAGA
rnacentral:tRNA from 1 species